UACGUAGGGUGCGAGCGUUAAUCGGAAUUACUGGGCGUAAAGCGUGCGCAGGCGGUUUGGUAAGACAGAUGUGAAAUCCCCGGGCUCAACCUGGGAACUGCAUUUGUGACUGCAUGGCUAGAGUACGGUAGAGGGGGAUGGAAUUCCGCGUGUAGCAGUGAAAUGCGUAGAUAUGCGGAGGAACACCGAUGGCGAAGGCAAUCCCCUGGACCUGUACUGACGCUCAUGCACGAAAGCGUGGGGAGCAAACAGG
rnacentral:rRNA from 1 species